rnacentral:tRNA from 1 species
GAGGAUGUGGUUCAAUUGGUAGGAUGCUUGCCUAUCAUGCAGGAAGUCCUGGGUUUGAUAUCCAGCAUCAUAU